UACGUAGGGUGCAAGCGUUGUCCGGAAUUAUUGGGCGUAAAGAGCUCGUAGGCGGUUUGUCGCGUCUGCUGUGAAAACCCAGGGCUUAACCCUGGGCCUGCAGUGGGUACGGGCAAACUAGAGUGCGGUAGGGGAGAUGGAAUUCCUGGUGUAGCGGUGAAAUGCGCAGAUAUCAGGAGGAACACCGAUGGCGAAGGCAGCCCCCCUGGGAUAACACUGACGCUCAUGCACGAAAAGCGUGGGGGAGCAAACAGGG
rnacentral:rRNA from 1 species